AUANUGCAAGUCGAGCGAACAGACGAGGAGCUUGCUCCUCUGACGUUAGCGGCGGACGGGUGAGUAACACGUGGAUAACCUACCUAUAAGACUGGGAUAACUUCGGGAAACCGGAGCUAAUACCGGAUAAUAUAUUGAACCGCAUGGUUCAAUAGUGAAAGACGGUUUUGCUGUCACUUAUAGAUGGAUCCGCGCCGCAUUAGCUAGUUGGUAAGGUAACGGCUUACCAAGGCAACGAUGCGUAGCCGACCUGAGAGGGUGAUCGGCCACACUGGAACUGAGACACGGUCCAGACUCCUACGGGAGGCAGCAGUAGGGAAUCUUCCGCAAUGGGCGAAAGCCUGACGGAGCAACGCCGCGUGAGUGAUGAAGGUCUUCGGAUCGUAAAACUCUGUUAUUAGGGAAGAACAAAUGUGUAAGUAACUAUGCACGUCUUGACGGUACCUAAUCAGAAAGCCACGGCUAACUACGUGCCAGCAGCCGCGGUAAUACGUAGGUGGCAAGCGUUAUCCGGAAUUAUUGGGCGUAAAGCGCGCGUAGGCGGUUUUUUAAGUCUGAUGUGAAAGCCCACGGCUCAACCGUGGAGGGUCAUUGGAAACUGGAAAACUUGAGUGCAGAAGAGGAAAGUGGAAUUCCAUGUGUAGCGGUGAAAUGCGCAGAGAUAUGGAGGAACACCAGUGGCGAAGGCGACUUUCUGGUCUGUAACUGACGCUGAUGUGCGAAAGCGUGGGGAUCAAACAGGAUUAGAUACCCUGGUAGUCCACGCCGUAAACGAUGAGUGCUAAGUGUUAGGGGGUUUCCGCCCCUUAGUGCUGCAGCUAACGCAUUAAGCACUCCGCCUGGGGAGUACGACCGCAAGGUUGAAACUCAAAGGAAUUGACGGGGACCCGCACAAGCGGUGGAGCAUGUGGUUUAAUUCGAAGCAACGCGAAGAACCUUACCAAAUCUUGACAUCCUCUGACCCCUCUAGAGAUAGAGUUUUCCCCUUCGGGGACAGAGUGACAGGUGGUGCAUGGUUGUCGUCAGCUCGUGUCGUGAGAUGUUGGGUUAAGUCCCGCAACGAGCGCAACCCUUAAGCUUAGUUGCCAUCAUUAAGUUGGGCNCUCUAAGUUGACUGCCGGUGACAACCGGAGGAAGGUGGGGAUGACGUCAAUCAUCAUGCCCCUUNWGAUUG
rnacentral:rRNA from 1 species